GGGCACUUGGUCUAGGGGUAUGAUUUGUAAGUCUCAAAGCAAAAACACUCAGUUUGAGUAGUUUACUAACGAGUAUUCAGUCGCUUCGCAUCUUAUAUAUGCAUAUUGUGAAAGGUCGUGGGUUCAAUUCCCACAGUGUCCA